rnacentral:rRNA from 1 species
AUUGAACGCUGGCGGCGUGCUUUACACAUGCAAGUCGAACGGGGUGGGGGGCAACCUUCAUUCAGUGGCGAACGGGUGAGUAAUGCAUCGGAACGUACCCCGGAGUGGGGGAUAACGCCGCGAAAGCGGCGCUACUACCGCAUAUGCUCUGAGGAGGAAAGUGGGGGACCGCAAGGCCUCACGCUCUGGGAGCGGCCGAUGCCCGAUUAGCUAGUUGGUGGGGUAAUGGCCCACCAAGACGACGAUCGGUAGCUGGUCUGAGAGGAUGAUCAGCCACACUGGGACUGAGACACGGCCCAGACUCCUACGGGAGGCAGCAGUGGGGAAUUUUGGACAAUGGGGGCAACCCUGAUCCAGCCAUGCCGCGUGAGUGAAGAAGGCCUUCGGGUUGUAAAGCUCUUUCGGCCGGGAAGAAAUCGUAUCAGCUAAUACCUGGUGCGGAUGACGGUACCGGCAUAAGAAGCACCGGCUAACUACGUGCCAGCCGCCGCAGUAACAC